CCAAAUCUGAGUAUAACUCCCGUGUGAUAUUCCUCCUAUCUCUUGAUUAGUGGAGACUAAAAUAAACAGCUCAUGGGUACAUGAGGCUCCAUGCGGGAAAAAGCAGUCAUGACUCUGCAGGGAAGGGUAUAACCCAGUGUUCUUUCAGGCCCACGGAAAGUCAUAUCCGUUCUUCAUCUUUCCAGGGUUGGCAGUUCCAUCCACUUAUUCUUCCAAACAGGUACUAACACCUUACUACAUGUGAGGGUCAGGGCCAGGUACCAAGAUACAAAGCUAAUUAAGACAUAGUUCUUGCCCUAAGAUUAGUUUAAUGGCUGUGAUUUCCUUGGUAUUUAGAAAAGUGGCCACUUGUGGUUUAGGCUGGUUCCCUUCAGAUUAAGCAGCAAGCCUUCUGAAAAGCCUUUACAACAUGAGCAGCCUUUAUUCUUUUGGGACUGGUUUUUUUUCAAUGACACAUUGCAGAGUUAGUGAGAAAUGGCUUUCCCAUCACUUUGCUGCAUAAACCUCAGUAUUUAUCGGAAUGCAGUAAUGCAGUUCUACGAUGAAAAUUGAAUUUAACUUUAUCUCAGGGCCAAAUGCUCAGUUCUCCCUUUCUCCCUCUAAUGGCCUAAUUCGACAUUAGCAUGAAAGGUAAGAUGUGGUACAAUUUUAACAGCCCCCUUCAGAUCUUUUGUUUUUGAAAAAGGAAGUUUUUCCAAGGGGGACUGAUUGGGUUUAAAAUGCUUGUUUUCCUGAUUCUAACCUUAUUUAGUGCUAGGAUUACCACCCUAAAGACAUUACUGGUUCCCAAGACACAAGAGCUGCAGAAGAGGGAAAGAGAUGUGAUAAACAUCUCUGCUCUCAAACCUGCCCAAAUGUUAUUGUCUGGUCAUUAAGUAGCUUCUAUUUCAGAGCUCUGCCCUUGGAGGCAAAGGCUGGGACAAUAGAGGAAGGGAGAAGGUCUCAGAAAGGUCCCUUAUGGGUUAGCUGAUCAGCACAAGACCCAAAGGGCACUCGAUCUAAACCAAAUUAGGCUGCAGCAAGACCGCAGGCCAUUGUUAAGUGACACCUUGAUUAGCUGCUGAAAGGAGAUCCAGCUAUUACGCUUCCUUUCCAAUCAAAGCUGUUGGGCCAACUGCAUCUUUCAGGGCCACAAAUAUUUACAUGUUUUGUCUUAAGAAACUGGGUAGAAUUUCAAAGUCCAAUUCAAUUUGUGUACAAUUUGGCCCUAAUGCACUGAAACAUAAGCUGCAGCCUUUGUGAUUCAUUAGUCAAGGUCCUUCCCCUACAUCCUAUGAACAAGAGAGAAAUCUUUGGCUUGAAUGUCAUCCAGUCUCUUCGGAAAGUUUCCCAACAGAAUGGAUGACAUCUAGUAAAACAGGUCACAGAGCCCUACUCUGAACAAUGCCACAGCGCACUAUCAAGAAAACACUCCCUUCUCCCUAUUUUUCAAACCCUUUCCAAAGAAAAGCAAAUUUCUCUAAUGAAAAGUAGAUUCGCAGACUAAACCCUCAGGACAAAAAGAAAGAAAGAGAUGACCUGAGACUUGACUUGCUUCCUGAAUUAAAUAUAAACUCCUACCCUGGCAUUCAAAACAUUCUGAAAUAAGGAUCCAACCUUCUUUACCAUUCUUUGCUAUACAAAAUCCUCACAACAGAAAUGAUUUUUGACAAUUUCUCAAAUGUGUCUUCUACUUUCCCAUCUCAUGGUCUACACUGUUAACAUCAUCUGGAAUGACCUUUCUCCACAAGGCUGACAAAAUGCUAGUCACUCUUGAAGACCUGUUUAAAAAUUCUUUUUUGGCCAGGAAUGGUGGCUCAUGCCUGUAAUCCCAGUGGGAGACCAAAGCAGGAGGAUGGCUUGACCCUAGACGUUCAGGAGACCAGCCUAGGCAACACAGCGAGACCUUGUCUCUACAAAAACUAAAAAAAUUGGCCAAGCCUGGUGGCACAUGCCUGUAGUGGUCCCAGCCAUUUGGGAGGCUGAGGCAGGAAGAUCACUUGAGCCUCCCAAGUAGCUGAGACUAUAGGUCCAUGCCACCAUACAUAAUUUUUUUUUUGAGACACAAUCUCGCUCUGUUGCCCAGGCUGGAGUGCAGUGGCGCGAUAUCAGCCACUGCAACCUCCUCCUGGGUUCAAGCAAUUCUUGUGCCUCAGCCUUCCGAGUAGCUGGGAUUACAGGCAUACGCCACCAUGCCUGGGUAAUUUUUGUAUUUUUAGUAGAGGCAGAGUUUCACCACGUUGGCCAGGCUGGUCUCGAACUCCUGGCCUCAUGUGAUCCACCCACCUCAGCCUCCCAAAGUGUUGCGAUUACAAGCGCAAGCCACCGCACCCAGCCCUCACUUGGCUAAUUUUUAAAUUUUAUGUAGAGACAGUCUUGCUAUGUUGCCCAGGCUGGUUUCCAACUCCUAAGCUCAAGCGAUCCUCCUUCCUCACCCUCCCAAAGCUCUGGGAUUAUAGGCACGAGCCAUGGUGCCCAGCGUCUAUCCCCACUGAAUUCCACAGUACAGUACUCUGUAUACAGUACGCACUCAAAACACGUUUGUCAAAUUUCUCUUCCUGACAGUGCUGAUACUUGAACACAUUGAAAUCUUGAAGAAAACAGGUAAGUCAACAAUUAGCUCACUACAGAAAUGGGCAUACCUAGUGAAUUAGUACCUUUGGUUAACAUUCUAAGGUUAUUUAAAAACACAACUUGUUUUCCAUUUCACUGUCAGAGCUGGGUAAAAUGAAAGACAAGCCCAGCCUAUCUUUGCCUUUUCAUCCACUCGAUUCUGAAUCACUUAGGAAAAUAUGUAAGUGACGGGGUCAAACAAUCCUCCCAUCUCAGCCCCCCAAGUAGCUGGGGCUACAGAUGUGCACCACCACACCUGGCUAAUUUUUGUAUUUUUUGUAGAGGUGGGGUUUCGCCUUGUUACCCAGCUGGUCUUGAACUCCUGGACUCAAGCAAUCCGCCUGCCUCGGCCUCCCAAAGUGCCAGGAUUACAGGUGUGAGCCACUACACCUAGCCAAGGCUAAGGUUAAGGUCAUGGAGGAGGCAGGCAUAGUAUUAGGAAAGCCAAUUAGAGAAGAAGCCAGCGGCUCACUCUGUGAAAGUUAACAAUAAACAGGCCAGGCGCGGUGGCUCACGCCUGUAAUCCCAGCACUUUGGGAGGC
rnacentral:lncRNA from 1 species